UGUAAUUUACCAAAUAAUCUUAUAUAUCAGCUACUAUCCAAACGACCAAACGUCAAUUGAGUUCCCAUUUGACCUUCGUCCUGUCUUUUCUCUUCCUGAAACACUCAAGUCACCAUACUGAAAUCUGAAUGACUAAAUAUGUACGCUAUGUCGACUCUAGCCAUUCCAUGUCUUCUUCUCCAUACCCUCCGUACUAGCCUGACACAGCCAGCCAAUUCCAUGAUUGACAGCUUGAGGGCUAGGGUUUACGUUUCCGAUCUCCCUACACACUUUCAAAAUUUCACUUUAGAGUUUCAUCGCAGUGUAGGAAUCACCGAGUGAGGGUAGGGUUUACAACCACAAGCGCAAGUGGAACGCAGAGAUAUCUUGAUUUUGGCUUUCCUGAUUUUAUCUUCCAGACUUUCACUUCAGAAGAAUUGCAAUUUUUUGUCAUGAAGCUCACUGCCAUGAGACUCGGAAGUUUUUUGGGUCAUCAAAAGCUCUUGUAUUGAAAUGAAGAAAAGUUGCACCUUAUUUUUUUUUUUUGGUUUGUUUUUGUUUUGAUCCUUUGUGAAAGAAUUUCUUGCAAUUUGAUCAAUUCGAUAGAGGUCGUUCAUCAAUUUCACAAAUAACCGAUAAUUAUUCAGAUACGUUUUGAGCCAAUUUCACAAAUCAGAGGAGAACAUGUCGUGUUAUAAUGUAGAAGAGAAGCAAGAAUGAUUCUAAAGUAAUUACAGUCGAAUUAAAUUAGGGUUCGUGAUGAUGUAUCUGUGGGGAUGAAAGGACAGCAGGAGAUCACUUUGAAUAGUGAUUUUUUUUUUCCAAUUUGACAUCAGUUGGCGUUGAAGUUGAAGUAAGUUGUUGAUCGCUGUGGGUAAUGUAAUUGACUUCUACUUCUUCUUGUGGAGGAAGCAAAUACACAACAGAUGGAGAUUUGGAGGAUGUAUUCGUCUAUUGUAUUUCCUUUAGCCAGACAAUUGAUUCGAAGAAUGUUUGAGUCGACAUUAUUUUUCUAGAAUGAAUCGUUUAGUAUUGGUUUCCGUGGAGGAAAUAAAACCCCAUGAUUUUGUUGUAGAAGCCACCGGUUACUAAAGUUGAAUGUAAAUAACUAAAUAAGUAUAUAUGAUAUUCACAUACACAUAAUUAUGUUC